GGCCGCGUAGCUCAGUUGGCAGAGCAUUGGGCUAGUAUUCCAAAGGUCGUAGGUUCGAUUUCCACCUUAGCCA